UGGCGCACGGGUGAGUAACACGUGGAUAAUCUACCCAUCGAUUUGGGAUACCAGUUGGAAACGACUGUUAAUACCGGAUACGAUCCAUAUUUAGCUUUAUGGGUGAAAGGCGGUGCAAGCUGUCGUCGAUGGAUGAGUCCGCGGUACAUUAGGUAGUUGGUGGGGUAAAGGCCUACCAAGCCUGUGAUGUAUAGCCGGCCUGAGAGGGUGAACGGCCACACUGGGACUGGAACACGGCCCAG
rnacentral:rRNA from 1 species